ACAGGACUGGAGAGAUGGCUCAGAG
rnacentral:piRNA from 1 species